GCAGGCAUCUGUCAGAGUGUUCUCUAUCAUUUCUACUCACCUGCUUGGAUGCCAGCUGGUAGUGUGGUGGAAACGGCCACCGUGAGCACAGGGGGGACUGGUAGGGUGGCUGCAGGGGGCUGGAAGCAGCUCUGCACCUCGUCAGCCACAAAGCCACAGACAGAGCUCAUAUAAAAAGGGCUCUGCAGGUCAUCUGUGGAGAAGGACUGACUGAUUCUCCCGAGGAUCGACCGCACAGAGUCAAAAGCAGCAGCCCGGGAGAAAGGGAUGUGAGGGGAAGGGUCCUUUAACAUGCAGGAGAGCUUCUCCACUACGGCCGCCACCAUGCCCACGGCCAUCCCGCUUAUUAGGAUUGGGUGCUCUGAAUGGCCUUCCUCUGGUUGAAGCCACAGGGCCAGGAGGAGUCUGGGCACCACCUCCACCACCACCUGAGAUGGGCUGAGCAGGUUGCUACGGGGCUCAUUGGACUGCUCGCCCAGAAUGCUUCUCACAGCUUUCUCCACGAUGCUGUGGACCUUCGGAUCGCUGAAAUCAACAAUAAGGAGAAAACAAAGGUAAACGAUGUGCAAUGUACUCACUUAGAACACUGUCUUAGUCUGUUUCUGCGUAGUUCCAGAUGUGUAGAUAAAUGGAUCAAGUCAUAUGCAGGGCAGUACAUGGAACUCACAUGUCAGCUGGCGAGGUGGGGUGCAUGGAGCGGCGGAGCUUGCAGAAAACCUCGUGCUCUAUGUUCAUCAUUUUUAGGCAAGUGUUUACUUCCCAGGCCUGCAGUAUGAAACAGGAAGUCCCAUUGGUGUAAUUUCACAACAGAUCUAUUUUGCUGUGCUAACUCGUUGUUGAAAGGCUAGUAAAGAGCUCACUAACUUGUAGUUUGUCUCUAACUCUCAUUCUCUUACCAGCCGAGUGAGGUCAUUUCCCUCCUCCAGGGUUUCCUUCCACACCCUUCAAAUAAAACACAGAGCAAUUAAACUUUCCUGGCUUAUGAUUUUUCUGUUGUUUAUUUUACCCACACCUCCUGGAGUGCUGCUGGUUGCAGGGAAUGGCAGUGAAGGUGAGUGCUGACGUGGUACUCACCUCUCCCUAAGAGAUUUUUUGCCCUGAGACACCAGCCAUUUGCUCAUGUGCUCCGUGGUGACAUGGGGAGGGACCUGGCCUUGACUCUGGAGCAGCAGAUAGUGGACCAUGAGCUUCUUCUGCAAGAUGAGGUAAGGUGUGAGACCGUGCCACGAAAUACCAUAUCAUGUGCUUUCAGAAGGGCCUCUCGCAACAUUUCACAACUGCUCAUGCCUCACAAUUUGCAAGUGAUUGUUAAGAACUCUUAUGACCACCUUCUCUAAACUGUCUUGAAAUACAACUCUUUCUGUUGUUUAUGUUUUUGUGGGAUGAAUCUUACCUGUUUAUUGUAAUAUGUUUCCUCCCAGCAGGCCUGCAGAGUCUGAAAAUAAAGGCUGCUUCUA
ensembl:lncRNA